UUCUCUCCUCCUCCUCCUCCUCCUCCUGCAGGGGCUUCGACAUUGCCAAUCACUUCUGCGAGUGGGUCUACAGCUACGCCCACGACGAGUGGCCCUUCUACACAGCCAGCCCGGAGAACUACCCCAGCCGCGAGCAGCAGCUGCACUUCAUCCGGUGUUACCUGGAGGAGGCAGGUGGGAAGGCCGACCCCCCCUCGCCAGAGGAGCAGGACCGCCUGGAGGCCAAGAUGCUUCUGGAGAUCAGCCGGUUCACCUUGGCCUCCCAUUUCUUCUGGGGCCUCUGGUCCAUCCUGCAGGCCAAGAUCUCCACCAUUGAGUUUGGCUACCUGGAAUACGCCCAGGGCCGCUUUGAGGCCUACUUCCAGCAGAAGGCCCGGGGCGAGUGACCGCUGGCUGUCCGGCAGCCAUAAACUGGCCUGACCAGAGCUGACAUAUCGCACAGCUGGAGCCGAAGGACCAAGACAGGCGGGGUGGCUGGUCAGCCCUCAUGCAAGAGACGCU
rnacentral:lncRNA from 1 species